UGGGGUUCUGCUAUUGUUUUGGGAUUGUGACAGCCACAAGCUUAGAGCUGAUUCAUCGUAGCUUUCCUCUUCAGCACCUGAAAUAGUGUCAGGAGCACUGCAGGCACUCCAUGAAUGUGUGUUGGACUUAAUUGAAUUCCACUGCAACUCUAAUCAACAUUCACUGUAGGGAACAGUGAUGGAAACAUAAUGGACUUCUUCUCCUCGGAACAACAUGUCACUAGCCAGUCCUUGAAGCACACUUCCUGAAUCACACCUGGAUGAAUGCAGCCAAAGGGAAGCAGAUGAAAGCAACCAAAGGGCUUUUCUAAGUGGCAAAGGCAGAUGAGGAAGGGCAAGGCUGUGGUUGUGCUCAUGGCACUAGAGCAGCUCCUUCAGCGCCUGAGAGCUGCCAGAAGACAGGUGUAGAAUUACCAGCUCUAGUGAACUUCAGCUUGCUGGACUGCCUCCUGCUUUGGGACCUGGCUGCUCAGAUGAUUAUUUUCUCCAUCCACUUUUGGCUCAAUGAAGACAGAUACUUACAAAUGAUAAGUGCACUUGGCAACAUCCCAAAUAAUGACUCUUCAACCCUUGGAGACUGCCUUGCCUACACUUGAUUUUUGGAUUUUGAAAUUUAAAUUGGGUAGCCAACAUGGUUCAUUUUCCAGAUACAUAAUGAUAAAAAUUACACACUGCAUAUAGACAAAUUUGUCAUUAACAAACCAAUUUUAUGAGCAUUGUUUCAUUUAAUUUGCAAAAUUCCCUUGGGAUGCUGGGAAGGAAUAUAUAUUUUUUAUCGUAUUUUGGUCAACAGCAUACUGCUUCCUUUUGAUGACCAUGUAUUCUAGAGUCAAAAGAAUGUAAAUCUGAAGUUCAUCUUAGCCAGUUGCUAGUGUGUUCCUUUGGGGAUACUACUAUACAAUCUUGUUCUGUUCCUUUAGAAAAUAGCUACUCACAAUAUUAAUUACCCAUUGGGAUGUUAUGAGGGUAAAAUUAAUAAAGACAGUCCUCUGGCUCACUUGGAUUCUUUGAGAGAGUAGAAGCACUAGUGAUCAUAAAAGGAAAUGAACUUUGAGGGAAAAGCUAUUUUAAAGACUUAUUCUAAUUUUACAAACCUGGGUACAUCACAGACCAUUCCGGGUGGCAUUUUCAUUAUUUGAGAAAAUGGGGCUGGUCCUUACUGUCAUUAUUUGCAUGAAGAUUAAAUGAUACUACAAAUUUAAAAGCACAGUAUGUAGUAUGAAGUUGUACUUGCAAGAUUCAUUCAAUAAAUAUGUUUCAUUUAUCUUUCAAUAAGCCUUCUUUUAUUUUUCAUCUGUAAAAUGGGGAUUAAAAAAUGCCUUGCCUCUCUGUUUCAUGUUUUUUUUUAACCUCUCAGGUAAACUAGACAAGUAAUAUCCCUUAAUAAAAUUUUAAAGUGCUUAGAUUACAACAAUUUGGAUUUUUCUACUUGUCUCAAUACAAUAGGAUGAUAUCUCCUUGAUAGGAAAUCUUGUUGGCUCUGUCUUCAAAAUAUGUAUCAAAGUCUAGGCCGUUUGGUACUGUCCCCAUUGCUCCCAUGCUAUUGAAGUCCUUGCCAUCUUUCAUCCAGGUGGCUGCUUCCACAGUGACCCCAUAGUCUUUUAUCUCU
rnacentral:lncRNA from 10 species